GCCCGGUUAGCUCAAUCGGUAGAGCGUGAGACUCUUAAUCUCAAGGUUGCGGGUAAGCUGCAUGUUCGAAUCUUUCCAUUCAUCGUGUG